rnacentral:rRNA from 1 species
UCGUAACCAAGGUUCCGUAGGUGAAGCUGCGGAAGGAGUCAUU